UGGAUCCGGAUAACCUCGGGAAACUGAGGCCAAUCCGGAAUACGAUUCCCCAAGCUGGAACUGCUGGGAAUCCGAAACGCUCAGGCGCCAUAGGAUGUGGCUGCGGCCGAUUAGGUAGACGGUAGGGUAACGGCCCACCGUGCCAAUAAUCGGUACGGGUUGUGAGAGCAAGAGCCCGGAGACGGCAUCUGAGACAAGAUACCGAGCCCUACGGGGCGCAGCAGGCGCGAAACCUUUACACUGCACGACAGUGCGAUAAGGGGACUCCGAGUGCGAGGGCAUAUAGUCCUCGCUUUUCUGUACCGUAGGGAAGUACAGGAACAAGUGCUGGGCAAGACCGGUGCCAGCCGCCGCGGUAAUACCGGCAGCACGAGUGAUGACCGAUAUUAUUGGGCCUAAAGCGUCCGUAGCUGGCCAAGCAAGUCCAUUGGGAAAUCGACGUGCUCAACGCGUCGGCGUCCGGUGGAAACUGUUUGGCUUGGGGCCAGAAGACCUGAGGGGUACGUCCGGGGUAGGAGUGAAAUCCCGCAAUCCUGGACGGACCACCGGUGGCGAAAGCGCCUCAGAAAGAUGGACCCGACGGUGAGGGACGAAAGCUAGGGUCUCGAACCGGAUUAGAUACCCGGGUAGUCCUAGCUGUAAACGAUGCUCGCUAGGUGUGCCACAGGCUACGAGCCUGUGCUGUGCCCUAGGGAAGCCGAGAAGCGAGCCGCCUGGGAAGUACGUCCGCAAGGAUGAAACUUAAAGGAAU
rnacentral:rRNA from 1 species